rnacentral:rRNA from 1 species
CAGUAGCCGCGGUAAUACGGAGGGGGCUAGCGUUGUUCGGAAUUACUGGGCGUAAAGCGCACGUAGGCGGCUUGGUAAGUUAGAGGUGAAAGCCUGGAGCUCAACUCCAGAAUUGCCUUUAAGACUGCCGAGCUAGCAGGUGAGAGAGGUAAGUGGAAUUCCGAGUGUAGAGGUGAGAUUCGUAGAUAUUCGGAAGAACACCAGUGGCGAAGGCGGCUUACUGGCUCAUACUGGACGCUGAGGUGCGAAAGCGUGGGGAGCAAACAGGAUUAGAUACCCCGGUAGUCCCUGUCUCUUAUAA